GACGAGGUGGCCGAGUGGUUAAGGCGUUGGACUACUAAUCCAACGUGCUCUGCACGCGUGGGUUCGAAUCCCAUCCUCGUCG
rnacentral:tRNA from 1 species